GAUGAACGCUGGCGGCGUGCCUAAUACAUGCAAGUCGAGCGAACAGACGAGGAUCUUGCUCCUCUGACGUUAGCGGCGGACUGGUGAGUAACACGUGGAUAACCUACCUAUAAGACUGGGAUAACUUCGGGAAACCGUAGCUAAUACCGGAUAAUAUAUUUAACCGCAUGUUUCAAUAGUGAAAGACGUUUUUUCUGUCACUUAUAGAUGGAUCCUCGACGCAUUAGCUAGUUGGUAAGGUAACGGCUUACCAAGGCAACGAUGCGUAGCCGACCUGAGAGGGUGAUCGGCCACACUGGAACUGAGACACGGACCAGACUCCUACGGGAGGCAGCAGUAGGGAAUAUUCCGCAAUGGGCGAAAGCAUGACGGAGCAACGCCGCGUGAGUGAUGAAGGUCUUCGGAUCGUAAAACUCUGUUAUUAGGGAAGAACAAAUGUGUAAGUAACUAUGCACGUAUUGACGGUACCUAAUCAGAAAGCCACGGCUAACUACGUG
rnacentral:rRNA from 1 species